rnacentral:lncRNA from 1 species
CAGAGAGAGGAAGACAUCUUUUUAAACAUCAUUCAAAUCAAGUGAUGACGAAUGAGCAGAUUUACCAGCCGUCUUUAUUUGAUGUCUGAAGCGAGUCUGGUGAGGACACAUCAGAAAACUCUCGUACUUCCUGUAGCAGCUUCAGAACCGAAUCACAACUCUCACAACCAGAUGCAUCUGCAUCACCCGCAUCUGGACACCCGAGGAUUGUAACCUGACCUGAUCUGUCGUGG